AACCGAGCGAACGUUGUUCGGAAUCACUGGGCUUAAAGGGCGCGUAGGCGGGUGCUCAAGUCCGUGGUGAAAUCCUCCGGCUCAACCGGAGAACUGCCUCGGAUACUGGGCGUCUCGAGUGUGGUAGGGGUAUGCGGAACUAUCGGUGGAGCGGUGAAAUGCGCAGAUAUCGGGAGGAACACCGGUGGCGAAGGCGGUUCUCUGGGCCUUACCUGACGCUGAGGAGCGAAAGCGUGGGGAGCGAACAGG
rnacentral:rRNA from 1 species